AUGCAGCAACGCCGCGUGAGGGAUGACGGCCUUCGGGUUGUAAACCUCUUUUAGCAGGGAAGAAGCGUGAGUGACGGUACCUGCAGAAAAAGCGCCGGCUAACUACGUGCCAGCAGCCGCGGUAAUACGUAGGGCGCAAGCGUUAUCCGGAAUUAUUGGGCGUAAAGAGCUCGUAGGCGGUUUGUCGCGUCUGCUGUGAAAUCCCGAGGCUCAACCUCGGGCCUGCAGUGGGUACGGGCAGACUAGAGUGCGGUAGGGGAGAUUGGAAUUCCUGGUGUAGCGGUGGAAUGCGCAGAUAUCAGGAGGAACACCGAUGGCGAAGGCAGAUCUCUGGGCCGUAACUGACGCUGAGGAGCGAAAGGGUGGGGAGCAAACAGGAUUAGAUACCCUGG
rnacentral:rRNA from 1 species